CAGUGGAGUAAACAUCACUGCAGUCACUGAAGGGCCUCGGUAUGUUGUUGGAUUGAAGAUCAGAUUGAACUCAUAUGUUCAGCUCUCAGACUCAGACAUGCAGAGUGUGUUGGAGGAGUUCUUCCGACAAAACGGAUUGUCACCACAGUCCCUGAAGAUUCAAUCUGUCAAGACAUGAGAUGUGGACAGACAGGUUGAAGUAGGAAAGGAGGAUGGAUCUGUUUCAACAAGUCAUUUAAUCUUUUUGUCACAUUUUGAAUUGUUUUCCUUGAAGCAAAUGAAAAAAAUACCUGAUGAUUUUUCCAUCUUCCAGUGAAAUGUAGUUGAAUUGUAGUCACCUAUUUGUAGACUUUUUUAAAUGUAAGACAUGGCGUUUCCCAAAUCCAUCUAAUUCUAUACACUAUAAGCUACAUACAUACUAAUCCUUAUGGUGUACUAUUCUAGCUGCUGCAACAAAAAUCAACAUACUUUACAGACAAAAAAAUAUACAAUAUGUGCAUCAAACUGCAACUUUGGAAUGUCACUGCUGAUAAAACUGUGUUCCUUACAAUUUUAUACUUUUUGUUUUGUUUUCCACAUUUUGGAGCACCAUUCACUUUUUUUCAAAAUUAACCAGCCGUGAGUAUCACUUUGGAUUGUGGGACAAUAGUGUACACCAGCAACACACUCAAAAAAAAUCAAGUGUAUUUAGCAUGCAUACUGUCUGGUUUGAGUAUCCUUCAUGUUGUCACACACAACAUACUCAAAACCUGCUUAGUGUGUGUUGUAUGGAUUUGGAACAUGCCAUGAUGGUUGGCAGUCAAGACAAGUUCAAAAAGGUCACUUGAUCUAUGAGUUUUUAUUUUGUUAUUUUGUUUCAAUGUGAAAUUUUGGAAAAGAAACUUUAAAAACUUACAGCACUUCCACUUACAAUUCAGAUCAAUUGUAAGUAUAUGUGUGAGCCCUGCUACUGUUAAAGCUGUAUCGAGUGCAUAAAGUGAAGUUGUGGAAAAUUCUUCCAAAACCAAAAAGCAAAAAAAACUUAUAGCUGUGUGAAAUUUUGUUUGUCAGUGUAAAGAUAUUAUUGAUACAGUAUUGUGAUAAUGUGUGUGUAAAUAUAAACAGUAAUAAUAUAAAAUAAAUAAAUAAAGAGCCUUUGAAUCUUGACAAAUACAUGGUGAAGUGAUG